rnacentral:rRNA from 1 species
UACGGGAGAUGCAAGCGUUGUUCGGAAUCACUGGGCUUAAAGCGCGUGUAGGCGGCUUGGUAAGUACCUUGUGAAAUCCCUCGGCUCAACCGAGGAAUAGCUUGGUAUACUGUCGAGCUUGAGGCAGGUAGGGGUCACUGGAACUCUAGGUGGAGCGGUGAAAUGCGUAGAUAUCUAGAGGAACGCCCGUGGCGAAAGCGGGUGACUGGGCCUGUCCUGACGCUGAGACGCGAAAGCGUGGGUAGCAAACGGG